GACGAACGCUGGCGGCGUGCUUAACACAUGCAAGUCGAACGGAAAGGCCCUGCUUUUGUGGGGUGCUCGAGUGGCGAACGGGUGAGUAACACGUGAGUAACCUGCCCUUGACUUUGGGAUAACUUCAGGAAACUGGGGCUAAUACCGGAUAGGAGCUCCUGCUGCAUGGUGGGGGUUGGAAAGUUUCGGCGGUUGGGGAUGGACUCGCGGCUUAUCAGCUUGUUGGUGGGGUAGUGGCUUACCAAGGCUUUGACGGGUAGCCGGCCUGAGAGGGUGACCGGCCACAUUGGGACUGAGAUACGGCCCAGACUCCUACGGGAGGCAGCAGUGGGGAAUAUUGCCCAAUGGGCGGAAGCCUGAUGCAGCAACGCCGCGUGCGGGAUGACGGCCUUCGGGUUGUAAACCGCUUUCGCCUGUGACGAAGCGUGAGUGACGGUAAUGGGUAAGGAAGCACCGGCUAACUACGUG
rnacentral:rRNA from 1 species